UACAGAGGUCUCAAGCGUUGUUCGGAUUCAUUGGGCGUAAAGGGUGCGUAGGCGGCGCGGUAAGUCGGGUGUGAAAUCUCGGGGCUUAACUCCGAAACUGCAUUCGAUACUGCCGUGCUUGAGGACUGGAGAGGAGACUGGAAUUUACGGUGUAGCGGUGAAAUGCGUAGAUAUCGUAAGGAAGACCAGUGGCGAAGGCGGGUCUCUGGACAGUUCCUGACGCUGAGGCACGAAAGCCAGGGUAGCGAACGGG
rnacentral:rRNA from 1 species